rnacentral:rRNA from 1 species
UCCUACGGGAGGCAGCAGUGGGGAAUUUUGGACAAUGGGGGCAACCCUGAUCCAGCCAUGCCGCGUGAGUGAAGAAGGCCUUCGGGUUGUAAAGCUCUUUCAGGUGGAAAGAAAUCACUACCCCGAAUACGGGUGGUGGAUGACGGUACCAUCAGAAGAAGCACCGGCUAACUACGUGCCAGCAGCCGCGGUAAUACGUAGGGUGCGAGCGUUAAUCGGAAUUACUGGGCGUAAAGCGUGCGCAGGCGGUUGUGUAAGACAGGUGUGAAAUCCCCGGGCUUAACCUGGGAACUGCGCUUGUGACUGCACAGCUAGAGUACGGCAGAGGGGGGUGGAAUUCCACGUGUAGCAGUGAAAUGCGUAGAGAUGUGGAGGAACACCGAUGGCGAAGGCAGCCCCCUGGGCCUGUACUGACGCUCAUGCACGAAAGCGUGGGGAGCAAACAGGAUUAGAUACCCUGGUAGUCCACGCCCUAAACGAUGUCGACUAGUUGUUCGGAGAGGAAACUUUCUGGGUAACGCAGCUAACGCGUGAAGUCGACCGCCUGGGGAGUACGGUCGCAAGAUUAAAACUCAAAGGAAUUGACGGA